GACGAACCGUGCGAACGUUAUUCGGAAUCACUGGGCUUAAAGCGCGUGUAGGCGGCCUGAUAAGUAGGGGGUGAAAUCUUGCGGCUCAACCGCAAGGCUGCCUUCUAAACUGUCAGGCUGGAGCACGGUAGAGGCAGAUGGAAUUCCCGGUGUAGCGGUGGAAUGCGUAGAGAUCGGGAAGAACACCAGUGGCGAAGGCGGUCUGCUGGGCCGUUGCUGACGCUGAGGCGCGACAGCGUGGGGAGCAAACAGG
rnacentral:rRNA from 1 species